UAACCAUCCCGAGCGGCCGAGAGAUCUGGCUCUACGACGCCGCAGCAACCACCUACGGACUACCCUCCGCAGGCCGGUGCUACCGCCAGGAACGAUGGAGA
rnacentral:ncRNA from 2 species